rnacentral:rRNA from 1 species
AUUGAACGCUGGCGGCAUGCUUUACACAUGCAAGUCGAACGGCAGCGCGGACUUCGGUCUGGCGGCGAGUGGUGAACGGGUGAGUAAGACAUCGGAACGUGCCUGAAAGUGGGGGACAACCAGUCGAAAGAUUGGCUAAUACCGCAUACGAUCUACGGAUGAAAGAGGGGGACCUUAGGGCCUCUUGCUUUUAGAGCGGCCGAUGGCUGAUUAGCUAGUUGGUGGGGUAAAGGCCUACCAAGGCGACGAUCAGUAGCUGGUCUGAGAGGACGAUCAGCCACACUGGGACUGAGACACGGCCCAGACCCCUACGGGAGGCAGCAGUGGGGAAUAUUGCACAAUGGGGGAAACCCUGAUGCAGCGACGCCGAGUGAGGGAAGAAGGUUUUCGGAUUGUAAACCUCUGUCCCGGUUGAAGAUAAUGACGGUAGACCGGGAGGAAGCCCCGGCUAACUACGUGCCAGCAGCCGCAGUAAGAC